rnacentral:tRNA from 1 species
GCGGCGGUGGCGGAACUGGUAGACGCGUCAGCUUGAGGGGCUGGUGGGCGCAAGCCCGUGGAGGUUCGAGUCCUCUUCGCCGCACCA